CCCUUAGAUGUCCUGGGCCGCACGCGCGCUACACUGACGGAGCCAGCGAGCUUACCCCUUUGCCGAAAGGCAUGGGAAAUCUUUUGAAUCUCCGUCGUGCUGGGGAUAGAUCAUUGCAAUUAUUAAUCUUCAACGAGGAAUGCCUAGUAGGCGCAAGUCAUCAGCUUGCGUCGAUUACGUCCCUGCCCUUUGUACACACCGCCCGUCGCUCCUACCGAUUGGGUGUGCUGGUGAAAUGUUCGGAUCGGCCGUUUGUCGCGGUUUCCGCGUCAUGUGGCUGAGAAGUUCAUUAAACCCUCCCACCUAGAGGAAGGAGAAGUCGUAACA
rnacentral:rRNA from 1 species